rnacentral:rRNA from 1 species
GAACCGUCCAAACGUUUAUUCGGAAUCACUGGGCUUAAAGGGUGCGUAGGCGGCGCGGCAAGUUGGGUGUGAAAUCCCUCGGCUCAACCGAGGAACUGCGCCCAAAACUGCCGUGCUCGAGGGAGACAGAGGUGAGCGGAACUGAUGGUGGAGCGGUGAAAUGCGUUGAUAUUAUCAGGAACACCGGUGGCGAAAGCGGCUCGCUGGGUCUCUUCUGACGCUGAGGCACGAAAGCUAGGGUAGCGAACGGGGGAUUAGAUACCCCGGUAGUCCUAGCUGUAAACGAUGAGCACUAGAUCGGAGACUCCUCCAUAGGUUUCCGGUCCAAGCGAAAGUGUUAAGUGCUCCGCCUGGGGAUAUGGUCGCAAGGCUG